rnacentral:tRNA from 1 species
CAUUUUUGAGUAGUCAAUAAAAUACUAUCAGUAUUACAGGAAUUAAACAUUCCCUCAAAACA